rnacentral:pre_miRNA from 2 species
ACUGGAAUACCCUGGGGAUCUUGUUAAAAUGCAGAAUCUAAUCCAGUAGGUCUGGGAAGGGGCCUGAAAAAUCUGCAUUUCUAACAAGCUCCUAGGGGAUGUUGAU